rnacentral:rRNA from 1 species
UACGUAGGGGGCUAGCGUUGUCCGGAUUUAUUGGGCGUAAAGAGCGUGUAGGCGGCCAGGUAGGUCUGCUGUGAAAACCUGAGGCUCAACCUCAGGCCUGCAGUCGAUACGGGCGGACUUGAGUACUGCAGGGGAGACUGGAAUUCCUGGUGUAGCGGUGAAAUGCGCAGAUAUCAGGAGGAACACCGGUGGCGAAGGCGGGUCUCUGGGCAGUAACUGACGCUGGAGGAGCGAAAGCCGUGGGGAGC